rnacentral:rRNA from 1 species
GAUGAACGCUGGCGGCGUGCCUAAUACAUGCAAGUCGAGCGAACGGACGAGAAGCUUGCUUUUCUGAUGUUAGCGGCGGACGGGUGAGUAACACGUGGAUAACCUACCUAUAAGACUGGGAUAACUUCGGGAAACCGGAGCUAAUACCGGAUAAUAUUUUGAACCGCAUGGUUCAAAAGUGAAAGACGGUCUUGCUGUCACUUAUAGAUGGAUCCGCGCUGCAUUAGCUAGUUGGUAAGGCAACGGCUUACCAAGGCAACGAUGCAUAGCCGACCUGAGAGGGUGAUCGGCCACACUGGAACUGAGACACGGUCCAGACUCCUACGGGAGGCAGCAGUAGGGAAUCUUCCGCAAUGGGCGAAAGCCUGACGGAGCAACGCCGCGUGAGUGAUGAGGGUCUUCGGAUCGUAAAACUCUGUUAUUAGGGAAGAACAUAUGUGUAAGUAACUGUGCACAUCUUGACGGUACCUAAUCAGAAAGCCACGGCUAACUACGUG